rnacentral:rRNA from 1 species
GAUGAACGCUGGCGGCGUGCCUAAUACAUGCAAGUCGAGCGAACGGACGAGAAGCUUGCUUCUCUGAUGUUAGCGGCGGACGGGUGAGUAACACGUGGAUAACCUACCUAUAAGACUGGGAUAACUUCGGGAAACCGGAGCUAAUACCGGAUGAUAUUUUGAACCGCAUGGUUCAAAGGUGAAAGACGGUCUUGCUGUCACUUAUAGAUGGAUCCGCGCUGCAUUAGCUAGUUGGUAAGGUAACGGCUUACCAAGGCAACGAUGCAUAGCCGACCUGAGAGGGUGGUCGGCCACACUGGAACUUGGCCACGGUCCAGACGCCUACGGGAGGCAGCAGUAGGGAAUCUUCCGCAAUGGGCGAAAGCCUGACGGAGCAACGCCGCGUGAGUGAUGAAGGUCUUCGGAUCGUAAAACUCUGUUAUUAGGGAAGAACAUAUGUGUAAGUAACUGUGCACAUCUUGACGGUACCUAAUCAGAAAGCCACGGCUAACUACGUG